rnacentral:tRNA from 1 species
UGGUUGUAGGGGACGGCGACCGCCUCGGCCACCUCGCGGGUGGUCGGGGUCUGGUCCUCGUCCAGCACCGCCAGCC